rnacentral:rRNA from 1 species
UACGUAGGGGGCAAGCGUUGUCCGGAUUUAUUGGGCGUAAAGAGCGUGUAGGCGGUCAGGUAGGUCCGUUGUGAAAACUCGAGGCUCAACCUCGAGACGCCGAUGGAAACCAUCUGACUAGAGUCCGGAAGAGGAGAGUGGAAUUCCUGGUGUAGCGGUGAAAUGCGCAGAUAUCAGGAGGAACACCAAUAGCGAAGGCAGCUCGCUGGGACGUUACUGACACUAAGGCGCGAAAGCGUGGGGAGCGAACAGG